CCUACGGGAGGCAGCAGUGGGGAAUAUUGCACAAUGGGGGAAACCCUGAUGCAGCGACGCCGCGUGAGUGAAGAAGUAUUUCGGUAUGUAAAGCUCUAUCAGCAGGGAAGAAAAUGACGGUACCUGAGUAAGAAGCCCCGGCUAACUACGUGCCAGCAGCCGCGGUAAUACGUAGGGAGCAAGCGUUAUCCGGAUUUACUGGGUGUAAAGGGAGCGUAGGCGGCAAGGCAAGUCUGGUGUGAAAGGCGGGGGCUCAACCCCGGGACUGCAAUGGAAACUGGAAGGCUGGAGUGCGGGAGAGGUAAGCGGAAUUCCUAGUGUAGCGGUGAAAUGCGUAGAUAUUAGGAGGAACACCAGUGGCGAAGGCGGCUUACUGGACUGUAACUGACGUUGAGGCUCGAAAGCGUGGGGAGCAAACAGGAUUAGAUACCCCUGUAGUC
rnacentral:rRNA from 1 species